rnacentral:rRNA from 1 species
UACGGAGGGGGCUAGCGUUGUCCGAAGUUACUGGGCGUAAAGCGCGCGUAGGCGGGUUGGUAAGUCCGCUGUGAAAGCCCGGAGCUUAACUCCGGAGGGUCGGUGGAUACUGCCAGUCUUGAAGGUGCUAGGGGGAGAUGGAAUUACCGGUGUAGCGGUGAAAUGCGUAGAUAUCGGUAGGAACACCAGUGGCGAAGGCGGUCUCCUGGGGCAUUCUUGACGCUGAGGCGCGGAAAGCUGGGGGGAGCAAACGGGG